UUGCUUUAAACUAAUGAGUAAGGAAAAUUCUAAGGCUUUGUUAGCGCAAAGCCAUUGCUGCUAGCUAUUUCUAGCCUAUCAUUUUUGUAAGGGGUACUACAAGGGUCGUCCUGUGGAUGUCCGCUUACUUUGCAGAUGACCUAUUCAUUUCAAUAUCAGUCAU